CGCUUCGCCUGCCACGUCUUUGUCUCCCAGGAGUCCAUGAGGCCGGUGGCGCAGAGUGUGGGCCGCGCCUUCCUGGAGUACUACCAAGAGCACCUGGCGUACGCCUGCCCCACGGAGGACAUCUACCUGGAGUAGCCUGCCCACCGCUCUGUCUCCUGGCCGUCUGCUCCAGGCGCAGCUGGGGCUGAGGAUGUCUCAAGAGGCCACCAUGGCUUUGGCAAGGACUGGAUUGGGGGGACAUGGGACCUUACGCUUGUGGGGGUCUGCGGGCUGGGAACUCUCGUCCUCGGUCCCCAGGGCGCAGCUGUUGGGGCUGCGGGGGAGUGGAGCCCCCGUGCCCCUGCUUUUCCUCAGAUCCGUUCUUUCUCUGUGUUGUCCUCCUCCUUCCCUUCCCAGUCUCCCUUUUCUCUCUCCUGGUGUCUCUGCCCCUCUCUGUGCCUGCAAACCUUAUCCUCUAUUCUUCACUUUGGGGUCAGAACUUCGGGGGUGUGGAGGAGGUGCGGCUCUAGGGACAGGUAAUGUCGGCUUCCAAGUGAUGCCCUCCUGCCACUCCCCUGCGAUUUAUAAGGGAAUUUUAAUUUUUAUAGUGAAUCUCAAGGGAUCAUCCCAUCCUUGACCACAGGGACAAGAGGGGCCCCCUCGCCCCAGCCCCACCCCACAUGGAGCUCAGGGGGAAGCAGGGAGGGGUUCCCAAAAGAGCCCUGCGGAGGCUAGGAGUGGUUCUUGAUGCUCACCUGAAGCCCCUAGACGCUGCUAGGAGGGGGGGCCCUCCUGGGCCCCCAAUACCCCUCCGCUUGCCGCUGCUAGCGCACCCCUGCAGUCCAGCGUGCAUCCACCCCACGCACGCCCCGUGCUGUGUUCCUGGGCCCUGCCCAUGGCCUCAAUAAACUCUCUGCUUGGUGUGACAUUGGCUGUUUCUAGAGGGUGCUAAGACAUGGGGCCAGGUGCCCAGGGGCUGCCCAUUGUGGUAGGGACAGAGUCCCCAGUGGCGGGAGUGUUGUGGCAAUCUCACCCUUUUAGCUCUUUCCGAAAUUGUGCCGGGGGUCCCUGCGGUGCUGCUCUGGGGCCUUAUCUGAGGUGCCGUAUCUAGAAGCACCCUUGGGAAUUCUCCCUAGAUACACUCGAUUGGCCACAGAGGAAUCCGAGGCUGUGCAAUGGGGUGUCCUUUCCACGUGCACGGACUGGGGGCCAGCACGGCUCAGGUCAGUGUGUAGUGGGGGCAUGAACUCCUUGAAGAACAAUCUGGCCGGGCACGGUGGCUCACGCUUGUAAUCCCAACACUUUGGGAGGCCGAGCCGGGGCGUAUCACCUGAGGUCAGGAGUUUGAGACCAGCUUGGCCAACAUGGUGAAACCCCAUCUCCACAAAAAAUACAAAAAUUAGCUAGGUGUCCUGGCGCACACCUGUAAUCCCAGCUACUCAGGAGGCUAAGGCAUGAGAAUCGCUUGAACCUGGGAGGCGGAGGUUGCAGUGAGCCAAGAUUGCACCACUGCACUCCAGCCUGGGCGACAGAGGGAGACUCCGUC
rnacentral:lncRNA from 1 species